rnacentral:rRNA from 1 species
UCCCACCUCUUCCCAUCCCGAACAGAGAAGUUAAGCCCUGCAGCGCCGAUGGUACUGGGGUUACACCCGGGAGAGUAGGUCGCCGCCACUU